UUGGUGAGGGUCGAUUGUGUUC
rnacentral:siRNA from 1 species